AUUGAACGCUGGCGGCAGGCCUAACACAUGCAAGUCGAACGAGUGGCGGAAGGGUGAGUAAUGUGUGGGAAACUGCCCGAUGGAGGGGGAAAACUACUGGAAACGGUCGCUAAUACCGCAUCCUAUCGGAUGUGCCGAUAUGGGAUUAGCUAGUAGGUGGGGUACCGGCUCACCUAGGCGACGAACCCUAGCUGGUCGGAGAGGAUGACCAGCCACACUGGAACUGAGACACGGUCCAGACUCCUACGUGAGGCAGCAGUGGGGAAUAUUGCACAAUGGGCUCAAGCCUGAUGCAGCCAUGCCGCGUGUAUGAAGAAGGCCUUCGGGUUGUAAAGUACUUUCAGCGAGGAGGCGUUACUCGCAGAAGAAGCACCGGCUAACUCCGUGCCAGCAGCCGCGGUAAUAC
rnacentral:rRNA from 1 species